rnacentral:rRNA from 14 species
GUGUAGAAUGUUAAUAGUAAUAGUGAAAUGUAUAUAGAAUUGGUAUAAAAUAAAUUGGAUAUUGGUAGCUUGAAAAGGUAGAUAUUCGAUUCACGAAAGCUUGAGGUGUGACAGGGAUUUGAGACCCCUUUAAUUCGAGACUGAAAUUAUGCAGGCAAUGUUUGUGGAUCUCUUUUUAACAAAUAAAGGUUCUUUUCCUAAUGAGUACGCUUUCACUUGUGAAACUUAAAUGUUCUGGUGGUGGU